rnacentral:rRNA from 1 species
UGGGGAAUAUUGGACAAUGGGCGCAAGCCUGAUCCAGCCAUGCCGCGUGAGUGAAGAAGGCCCUAGGGUUGUAAAGCUCUUUCGGCGGGGAAGAUGAUGACGGUACCCGCAGAAGAAGCCCCGGCUAACUCCGUGCCAGCAGCCGCGGUAAUACGGAGGGGGCUAGCGUUGCUCGGAAUUACUGGGCGUAAAGGGCGCGUAGGCGGAGCACGUAGUCAGGCGUGAAAUCCCCGGGCUUAACCUGGGAACUGCGCUUGAUACUGGUGCUCUAGAGUCCGGGAGAGGGUGGUGGAAUUCCCAGUGUAGAGGUGAAAUUCGUAGAUAUUGGGAAGAACACCAGUGGCGAAGGCGGCCACCUGGACCGGUACUGACGCUGAGGCGCGAAAGCGUGGGGAGCAAACAGGAUUAGAUACCCGCGUAGUCC